AGUAGCAUGCUCAAGACCCGAAGCGGAGUGAUCUAGCCAUGGGCAGGUUGAAGCGGCUGUAAGAGGUCGUGGAGGACCGAACCCACCAGGGUUGAAAACCUGGGGGAUGACCUGUGGUUAGGGGUGAAAGGCCAAUCAAACUCCGUGAUAGCUGGUUCUCCCCGAAAUGCAUUUAGGUGCAGCGUCGUGUGUUUCUUGCCGGAGGUAGAGCACUGGAUAGGCGAUGGGCCCUACCGGGUUACUGACCUUAGCCAAACUCCGAAUGCCGGUAAGUGAGAGCGCGGCAGUGAGACUGUGGGGGAUAAGCUCCAUGGUCGAGAGGGAAACAGCCCAGAGCAUCGACUAAGGCCCCUAAGCGUACGCUAAGUGGGAAAGGAUGUGGAGUCGCAGAGACAACCAGGAGGUUGGCUUAGAAGCAGCCAUCCUUGAAAGAGUGCGUAAUAGCUCACUGGUCAAGUGAUUCCGCGCCGACAAUGUAGCGGGGCUCAAGCGUACCGCCGAAGUCGUGUCAUUGCAGCAUGAGGGCUAACGCCUGUUGUGAUGGGUAGGGGAGCGUCGUGUGCCGGGUGAAGCCGCGCUGGAAGGUAGUGGUGGACGGUUCACGAGUGAGAAUGCAGGCAUGAGUAGCGAUACAAGAGUGGGAAACUCUUGCGCCGAUUGACUAAGGGUUCCUGGGUCAAGCUGAUCUGCCCAGGGUAAGUCGGGACCUAAGGCGAGGCCGACAGGCGUAGUCGAUGGACAACCGGUUGAUAUUCCGGUACCCGCUGUAAAGCGCCCAAUGCUGAACGGAGCGAUGCUAAGUCCGUGAAGCCGCCCCUGAUCUCUUCGGAGUGAGGGGGAGUGGUGGAGCCGACGGACCAGACUUCUAGUAGGUAAGUGAUGGGGUGACGCAGGAAGGUAGUCCAGCCCGGGCGGUGGUUGUCCCGGGGUAAGGGUGUAGGACGUCAUCCAGGUAAAUCCGGGUGGCACAUAGUCUGAGACCUGAUGCCGAGCCGAUUGUGGUGAAGUGGAUGAUCCUAUGCUGUCGAGAAAAGCCUCUAGCGAGUUUUAUGGCGGCCCGUACCCUAAACCGACUCAGGUGGUCUGGUAGAGAAUACCGAGGCGUUCGGGUGAACUAUGGUUAAGGAACUCGGCAAAAUGCCCCCGUAACUUCGGGAGAAGGGGGGCCAUGUCUGGUGAUCCAACUAGCUUGGUGAGCUGGGUGUGGCCGCAGAGACCAGCGAGAAGCGACUGUUUACUAAAAACACAGGUCCGUGCGAAGCCGUAAGGCGAUGUAUACGGACUGACGCCUGCCCGGUGCUGGAACGUUAAGGGGACCGGUUAGUCCUACUUCGGUGGGGCGAAGCUGAGAACUUAAGCGCCAGUAAACGGCGGUGGUAACUAUAACCAUCCUAAGGUAGCGAAAUUCCUUGUCGGGUAAGUUCCGACCUGCACGAAUGGCGUAACGACUUCUCGACUGUCUCAACCAUAGGCCCGGUGAAAUUGCACUACGAGUAAAGAUGCUCGUUUCGCGCAGCAGGACGGAAAGACCCCGGGACCUUCACUAUAGCUUGAUAUUGGUGUUCGGUUCGGCUUGUGUAGGAUAGGUGGGAGACUGUGAAGCUCAAGCGCCAGCUUGGGUGGAGUCGUCGUUGAAAUACCACUCUGGUCGUGCUGGAUGUCUAACCUCGGUCCGUGAUCCGGAUCAGGGACAGUGUCUGGUGGGUAGUUUAACUGGGGCGGUUGCCUCCUAAAGGGUAACGGAGGCGCCCAAAGGUUCCCUCAGCCUGGUUGGCAAUCAGGUGUUGAGUGUAAGUGCACAAGGGAGCUUGACUGUGAGACUGACGGGUCGAGCAGGUACGAAAGUAGGGACUAGUGAUCCGGCGGUGGCUUGUGGAAGCGCCGUCGCUCAACGGAUAAAAGGUACCCCGGGGAUAACAGGCUGAUCUUCCCCAAGAGUCCAUAUCGACGGGAUGGUUUGGCACCUCGAUGUCGGCUCGUCGCAUCCUGGGGCUGGAGUCGGUCCCAAGGGUUGGGCUGUUCGCCCAUUAAAGCGGUACGCGAGCUGGGUUUAGAACGUCGUGAGACAGUUCGGUCCCUAUCCGCUGUGCGCGUUGGAGUCUUGAGAAGGGCUGUCCCUAGUACGAGAGGACCGGGACGGACGAACCUCUGGUGUGCCAGUUGUCCUGCCAAGGGCAUGGCUGGUUGGCUACGUUCGGGAGGGAUAACCGCUGAAAGCAUCUAAGCGGGAAGCCUGCUUCGAGAUGAGGGCUCCCACCCACUUGAUGGGGUAAGGCUCCCAGUAGACGACUGGGUUGAUAGGCCGGAUGUGGAAGCCUCGUGAGGGGUGGAGCUGACCGGUACUAAUAGGCCGAGGGCUUGUCC
rnacentral:rRNA from 1 species